GCAAAAUCGAGGCACCUGCACCAUGGCCUGGACCCCUCUCCUCCUCGCAUUCCUGGCUCACUGCACAGGCUCCAUGGCCUCCUAUGUGCUGACUCAGCCCCGCUCGAAGUCGGUGAACCUGGGACAGCCGGCCAGGAUCACGUGUGGGGGAGACAACAUUGGAAGCAAAAAUGCUUACUGGUACCAACAGAAGCCAGGCCAGGCCCCCGUGCUGAUUAUCUAUGAGGAUAGCAAGCGGCCCUCAGGGAUCCCUGACCGAUUCUCAGGCACCAACUCGGGGAACACGGCCACCCUGACCAUCAGCGGGGCCCGGGCCGAGGACGAGGCUGACUAUUACUGUCAGGUGUGGGACAGCAGUGCUAAAGCUCACGGGCUGUGA